rnacentral:rRNA from 1 species
UAUGUAGGGUGCAAGCGUUGUCCGGAAUUAUUGGGCGUAAAGAGCUCGUAGGCGGUCUGUCGCGUCUGCUGUGAAAACUCGGGGCUUAACCCCGGGCCUGCAGUGGGUACGGGCAGACUAGAGUGCGGUAGGGGAGACUGGAAUUCCUGGUGUAGCGGUGAAAUGCGCAGAUAUCAGGAGGAACACCGGUGGCGAAGGCGGGUCUCUGGGCCGUAACUGACGCUGAGGAGCGAAAGCGUGGGGAUCAAACCGG